CAAAAAAAAGACCAAGUCAAAUACUCCUCCUUGCAAUCACACGUACAUAUAUCCCCUUCCCAAAGCAAUACCACUUUCCACCAUUCCACUAUUAAACAUCAACCACAAUUUAUUAAAAGUGAAGGAAUUAAAGAAACAUAUAGUCCCUUCUCUAAAACUGCCGGCUACCAAAGAACACCCCCACAUUCAAAUGUUAAGCAAAACAGAAAUUCUCAAAUUCUCUUCUCUCUCUAAACUCAUAUUAAAACAAGCAACCAAGGAUAAUUUCAAUCGGGAAGCCGUACUGCCGCCUCGCCGCGUCACAGGGCUGCUUCUCCGUCGCCGCCACUGCUGUCUGUCGUCGUCGCUGCGGAAGCCCCAGCAGCCGCUGCCCUCUUCGUCUGCUCGCUGGCGGCCUCGACCCAUCCCGGUUAGCCCCGUUUCUCUAUUAAAGGUUGAGUGGUGAUGUUGCGGCGGAUGUUGAGUCGAGCCUUGAUAAUUUCCGGAUGUGUCGUGUCGUCAUACAUAGGCGUUAUCCCAUGACUCUCUAGAUUCCUUAUUUCCGCUGUCUUGUUUUGAAUUGUUUUCCUAAAGUCUUCCACUAUACUCUACACUACUUUUAUGACAUUAACUACUUUGAGAUAUUAAUUCUGUUGUUUGACUAUUUAAUAGUAUGAAAUACUCCUUUUGAAGUUUA